rnacentral:rRNA from 1 species
UACGUAGGGUGCGAGCGUUACUCGGAAUUACUGGGCGUAAAGCGUGCGCAGGCGGUUCGUUAAGUCAGAUGUGAAAGCCCCGGGCUCAACCUGGGAACUGCAUUUGAAACUGGCGGGCUUGAGUAUGGCAGAGGGGGGUGGAAUUCCGCGUGUAGCAGUGAAAUGCGUAGAGAUGCGGAGGAACACCGAUGGCGAAGGCAGCCCCCUGGGCUGACACUGACGCUCAGGCACGAAAGCGUGGGGAGCAAACAGG